AACUUUUGACAAUGGAUCUCUUGGCUCUGGCAUCGAUGAAGAACGCAGCGAAAUGCGAUACGUAAUGUGAAUUGCAGAAUUCAGCGAACCAUCGAAUCUUUGAACGCACAUUGCGCCCGCCAGUACUCUGGCGGGCAUGCCUGUCCGAGCGUCAUUUCCCCCCUCACGCGCCCCGUUGCGCGCUGGUGUUGGGGCCCCUCCGCCUGGCGGAGGGCCCCGAAAGCGAGUGGCGGGCCCGGCUGGCUGGCUCCGAGCGCAGUACCGAACGCAAGUUCUCCCCUCGCCCGGACGCCCCGCCGGCGCCCUGCCGUCAAAACGCGCAUGACGCGCAACUCUUUCUAGGUUGACCUCGGAUCAGGUAGGACUACCCGCUGAACUUAAGCAUAUCAAUAAGCGGAGGCU
rnacentral:misc_RNA from 1 species